CCUGCCGCUGGGAUCCCGCGGAACCGAGGCGCGGGCCGCUGCGAGGUUGACAGACGCACCGGCCAGAGGGUGCGCGCCGCCGUACCCACUUCGCCUGGUUCCGGGGAGCCCGGGCGGCGAGGGCGGCGGACGCAGCCAGGCUGGAGGUUCCGGGCAGGCGCGGGGGAGCGGUGGCGGCGGCGAGCGGACUCCGGACACCGGGCAGGCGUCUGGGCACGGCGCGGCGGGGAAGAUGACCGCGGGCUCCUGCUCGCUCCUCCUGCUGCUCUCGCUCUCCGGCUCGCUCCAGGAGUUUACAUGGGGUUGUGACGGAGGUGCCAAGGAGCCCCAAGGAUUGCUGACCAGGCAGAACAUACCAACCCUGAGAGGAAGCAAGACAUCAAGCCUCUGAAACCGUGACAGAGGGAAAGCAGGAUCUGGAGAGAGCCUCACAUUGGCCCAGAAUGAAGAAAGAGGCCACUUCUCUCGAAGUGGCUUUCUGUUGCCAAAACUGAACUGGUACAGCAUCCACUUCAGAAGGUUUGCUUUGUGACUGGGACACAGGAAUUGCCUGGGCUAAAGUAAGCCGCCAUUCAGAUGAGCCUCUGAGCUUAUGCCAGUGUGGCCUGGGGCAUUCAUUUGAGGAAAUCUAGGGUUGACAUUUCCCUCCAUUUCAUCUUGUGAAGCCUUUUCUUUUUCCACUAUUUUCCCGCUUCUCUGUGUAGUCCUAGGAAAGAAAAUAUUUUAAAAGCAACUCUUUUUACAAGCUAUUUUCAUGUGGAUCCCAGCACCUCUCCUGGGUGACCCUACAUAGGUGCUGUGCCUUUGUGGGGCCUUAAGCCACUUUUCAGCUUAGUGUAUUCAGCUGUAAAGAGUGUGCAUAUUUCACAACAUUUUAAAGUAUUAGCACCUAAAAGUUAUAUAAAAUUAUUUUCAAUGCAAAACUUAAAUAGCAUUUUUA